UUGAUAUUGCCGUUGCUGAAUAUGUGUAAUCUGAUUAGGGUGAUGAUAUGUGUUAUAUUACUUAGCAUUACAUGAUAUUUUAUAAUGCUUAUUAUAUCGAUUGAAGGACUCACCCUUACAACUAUGUUUUCAGGUAACGAGCAGUGAUUGAAUAGAAGCUAGUCCUGGGAGUCUAGUGUAGUCCUUAGUGGGUCAUGCUCUGGUAGAUGUAACAUCGGGA
rnacentral:lncRNA from 1 species